UACGUAGGGUGCAAGCGUUAAUCGGAAUUACUGGGCGUAAAGCGUGCGCAGGCGGCUAUGCAAGUCAGCUGUGAAAUCCCCGGGCUCAACCUGGGAACUGCAUUUGUGACUGCAUGGCUAGAGUACGGUAGAGGGGGAUGGAAUUCCGCGUGUAGCAGUGAAAUGCGUAGAUAUCGAGAGGAACGCCUGCGGCGAAGGCGGGUUGCUGGGCUGACACUGACGCUGAGGCGCGAAAGCUAGGGGAGCGAACGGG
rnacentral:rRNA from 1 species